rfam:Gossypium arboreum cultivar AKA8401 contig_98328_1, whole genome shotgun sequence.
GGGUGCGAUCAUACCAGGACUAAUGCACCGGAUCCCAUCAGAGCUCCGAAAUUAAGCGUGCUUGGGCGAGAGUAGUACUAGGAUGGGUGACCUCUUGGGAAGUCCUCGGGUUGCACCCC